rnacentral:rRNA from 1 species
UACGUAGGCAGCGAGCGUUGUUCGGAUUUACUGGGCGUAAAGGGCGCGUAGGCGGCGUGUUAAGUCACUUGUGAAAUCUCUGAGCUUAACUCAGAACGGUCAAGUGAUACUGAUGUGCUAGAGUGCAGAAGGGGCAACCGGAAUUCUUGGUGUAGCGGCGAAAUGCGUAGAUAUCAAGAGGAACACCUGAGGUGAAGACGGGUUGCUGGGCUGACACUGACGCUGAGGCGCGAAAGCUAGGGUAGCAAACGGG